UAUGUGGUUAAUUUAUUGAGAUUUGUAGUUUACAUUGCUCUACGAUGAAAAUUAUAGAAAACAAAAAGUGUCUCGUAUUCAGGAUUCCCUGUCUCGGUGUAGGCUCUUCCAUUUGACCCGAGUCAUAAAGUUGUUGCAAUAAUAUUUAAAAUACAAAUUAAACGGAUAGAGCGAAGUGGAGGCAGCAAGUCGAUCCUGUGAAGCCUGCAAUGUACCCAGAAAACUUUUAAGCU